AGUGAACGCUGGCGGCAGGCCUAACACAUGCAAGUCGAACGGCAGCACAGUAAGAGCUUGCUCUUACGGGUGGCGAGUGGCGGAAGGGUGCGGAAUACACCGGAAUCUACUUUUUCGUGGGGGAUAACGUAUGGUAACUUACGCUAAUACCGCAUACGACCUGCGGGUGAAAGCAGGGGAUCUUCGGAACUUGCGCGAUUGAAUGAGCCGAUGUCGGAUUAGCUAGUUGGCGGGGUAAAGGCCCACCAAGGCGACGAUCCGUAGCUGGUCUGAGAGGAUGAUCAGCCACACUGGAACUGAGACACGGUCCAGACUCCUACGGGAGGCAGCAGUGGGGAAUAUUGGACAAUGGGCGCAAGCCUGAUCCAGCCAUACCGCGUGGGUGAAGAAGGCCUUCGGGUUGUAAAGCCCUUUUGUUGGGAAAGAAAAGCAGCAGGUUAAUAACCCGCUGUUCUGACGGUACCCAAAGAAUAAGCACCGGCUAACUUCGUG
rnacentral:rRNA from 1 species